GACGAACGCUGGCGGCGUGCUUAAUACAUGCAAGUCAACUUGACUUUAGAUAGCAAUAUCGAAAAGUAGGGUGGCGCACGGGUGCGUAACGCGUAGGUAAUCUGCCCUGAGGUCUGACAUAACCCGUCGAAAGGCGGGCUAACAUCAGAUGAUAUAUAGUCACGACAUCGUGGAAAUAUCAAAUCUUCGGAGCCUUGGGAUGAGCCUGCGUCUGAUUAGGUAGUUGGCGGAGUAAUAGCCCACCAAGCCUACGAUCAGUAGCUGGUCUGAGAGGAUGAUCAGCCACACUGGAACUGAGACACGGUCCAGACUCCUACGGGAGGCAGCAGUAAGGAAUAUUGCUCAAUGGGGGAAACCCUGAAGCAGCAACGCCGCGUGAAGGAUGAAAUACUUUUGUAUGUAAACUUCUGUAAGAUGGGAAAAAUAUUCUCCUUGGGAGAAUUGAUUGUACCAUCAGAGUAAGCCCCGGCUAACUACGU
rnacentral:rRNA from 1 species